rnacentral:rRNA from 1 species
GAGUUUGAUCCUGGCUCAGAUUGAACGCUGGCGGCAGGCUUAACACAUGCAAGUCGAACGGUAACAUGAGUGCUUGCACUUGAUGACGAGUGGCGGACGGGUGAGUAAUGUAUGGGGAUCUACCGAAUGGAUUGGGACAACAGUUGGAAACGACUGCUAAUACCGAAUAAUGUUGCGAGACCAAAGGGUGCUUACGGGCACUUGCCAUUUGAUGAACCCAUAUGAGAUUAGCUAGUUGGUGGGGUAAAGGCUCACCAAGGCGACGAUCUCUAGCUGGUCUGAGAGGAUGACCAGCCACACUGGAACUGAGACACGGUCCAGACUCCUACGGGAGGCAGCAGUGGGGAAUAUUGCACAAUGGGGGAAACCCUGAUGCAGCCAUGCCGCGUGUAUGAAGAAGGCCUUCGGGUUGUAAAGUACUUUCGGUAAUGAGGAAGGUGGUGUAUCUAAUAGGUGCAUCAAUUGACGUUAAUUACAGAAGAAGCACCGGCCAACUCCGUGCCAGCAGCCGCGGUAAUACGGAGGGUGCGAGCGUUAAUCGGAAUGACUGGGCGUAAAGGGCAUGUAGGCGGAUAAUUAAGUUAGGUGUGAAAGCCCUGGGCUCAACCUAGGAAUUGCACUUAAAACUGGUUAACUAGAGUAUUGUAGAGGAAGGUAGAAUUCCACGUGUAGCGGUGAAAUGCGUAGAGAUGUGGAGGAAUACCGGUGGCGAAGGCGGCCUUCUGGACAGAUACUGACGCUGAGAUGCGAAAGCGUGGGGAGCAAACAGGAUUAGAUACCCUGGUAGUCCACACUGUAAACGAUGUCGAUUUGGAGUUUGUUGCCUAGAGUGAUGGGCUCCGAAGCUAACGCGAUAAAUCGACCGCCUGGGGAGUACGGCCGCAAGGUUAAAACUCAAAUGAAUUGACGGGGGCCCGCACAAGCGGUGGAGCAUGUGGUUUAAUUCGAUGCAACGCGAAGAACCUUACCUGGUCUUGACAUCCACAGAAUCUUGCAGAGAUGCGAGAGUGCCUUCGGGAACUGUGAGACAGGUGCUGCAUGGCUGUCGUCAGCUCGUGUUGUGAAAUGUUGGGUUAAGUCCCGCAACGAGCGCAACCCUUAUCCUUUGUUGCCAUUGGUUCGGCCGGGAACUCAAAGGAGACUGCCGUUGAUAAAGCGGAGGAAGGUGGGGACGACGUCAAGUCAUCAUGGCCCUUACGACCAGGGCUACACACGUGCUACAAUGGCGUAUACAAAGGGAGGCGA